CGGAUCGCAGGCUGCAACCCGCCUGCGUGAAGUCGGAAUCGCUAGUAAUCGCGGAUCAGCAUGCCGCGGUGAAUACGUUCCCGGGCCUUGUACACACCGCCCGUCACACCAUGAGAGUCGGGAACACCCGAAGUCCGUAGCCUAACCGCAAGGAGGGCGCGGCCGAAGGUGGGUUCGAUAAUUGGGGUGAAGUCGUAACAAGGUAAC
rnacentral:rRNA from 1 species